rnacentral:rRNA from 1 species
GACGAACGCCGGCGGCGUGCCUAAUACAUGCAAGUUGAGCGCUGAAGGUUGGUACUUGUACCAACUGGAUGAGCAGCGAACGGGUGAGUAACGCGUGGGGAAUCUGCCUUUGAGCGGGGGACAACAUUUGGAAACGAAUGCUAAUACCGCAUAAAAACUUUAAACACAAGUUUUAAGUUUGAAAGAUGCAAUUGCAUCACUCAAAGAUGAUCCCGCGUUGUAUUAGCUAGUUGGUGAGGUAAAGGCUCACCAAGGCGAUGAUACAUAGCCGACCUGAGAGGGUGAUCGGCCACAUUGGGACUGAGACACGGCCCAAACUCCUACGGGAGGCAGCAGUAGGGAAUCUUCGGCAAUGGACGAAAGUCUGACCGAGCAACGCCGCGUGAGUGAUGAAGGUUUUCGGAUCGUAAAACUCUGUUGGUAGAGAAGAACGUUGGUGAGAGUGGAAAGCUCAUCAAGUGACGGUAACUACCCAGAAAGGGACGGCUAACUACGUGCCAGCAGCCGCGGUAAUACGUAGGUCCCGAGCGUUGUCCGGAUUUAUUGGGCGUAAAGCGAGCGCAGGUGGUUUAUUAAGUCUGGUGUAAAAGGCAGUGGCUCAACCAUUGUAUGCAUUGGAAACUGGUAGACUUGAGUGCAGGAGAGGAGAGUGGAAUUCCAUGUGUAGCGGUGAAAUGCGUAGAUAUAUGGAGGAACACCGGUGGCGAAAGCGGCUCUCUGGCCUGUAACUGACACUGAGGCUCGAAAGCGUGGGGAGCAAACAGGAUUAGAUACCCUGGUAGUCCACGCCGUAAACGAUGAGUGCUAGAUGUAGGGAGCUAUAAGUUCUCUGUAUCGCAGCUAACGCAAUAAGCACUCCGCCUGGGGAGUACGACCGCAAGGUUGAAACUCAAAGGAAUUGACGGGGGCCCGCACAAGCGGUGGAGCAUGUGGCUUAAUUCGAAGCAACGCGAAGAACCUUACCAGGUCUUGACAUACUCGUGCUAUUCCUAGAGAUAGGAAGUUCCUUCGGGACACGGGAUACAGGUGGUGCAUGGUUGUCGUCAGCUCGUGUCGUGAGAUGUUGGGUUAAGUCCCGCAACGAGCGCAACCCCUAUUGUUAGUUGCCACCAUUAAGUUGGGCACUCUAACGAGACUGCCGGUGAUAAACCGGAGGAAGGUGGGGAUGACGUCGAAUCAUCAUGCCCCUUAUGACCUGGGCUACACACGUGCUACAAUGGAUGGUACAACGAGUCGCGAGACAGUGAUGUUUAGCUAAUCUCUUAAAACCAUUCUCAGUUCGGAUUGUAGGCUGCAACUCGCCUACAUGAAGUCGGAAUCGCUAGUAAUCGCGGAUCAGCACGCCGCGGUGAAUACGUUCCCGGGCCU